GGUAAUACGGAGGGGGUUAGCGUUGUUCGGAAUUACUGGGCGUAAAGCGUACGUAGGCGGAUUAAUAAGUUAGAGGUGAAAUCCCAGGGCUCAACCCUGGAACUGCCUUUAAAACUGUUAGUCUUGAGAUCGAGAGAGGUGAGUGGAAUUCCAAGUGUAGAGGUGAAAUUCGUAGAUAUUUGGAGGAACACCAGUGGCGAAGGCGGCUCACUGGCUCGAUACUGACGCUGAGGUACGAAAGUGUGGGGAGCAAACAGGAUUAGAUACCCUGGUAGUCCACACCGUAAACGAUGAAUGCCAGACGUCAGCAAGCAUGCUUGUUGGUGUCACACCUAACGGAUUAAGCAUUCCGCCUGGGGAGUACGGUCGCAAGAUUAAAACUCAAAGGAAUUGACGGGGGCCCGCACAAGCGGUGGAGCAUGUGGUUUAAUUCGACGCAACGCGCAGAACCUUACCAACCCUUUGACAUACUUGUCGC
rnacentral:rRNA from 1 species